CAUCAUGGGUGUGCCGGGCACCUCCUCGGGGCAACCUUGUGGGGCCUCUGCCAUCCCUUUGAAACAACAGUCUCAAAACAAGAAGUUCAAAGUGACUGUGUUUGUUCUGCAGGAUGUUUGGCUGCGUCUGAUGGUCUUCCAGAAGGGGCUGUAUGUAUGCGGUUUGGCAAAGAUUAAAAUGACUCUCUUCAUAAUGCACUUGGGGACAGGAGUCUGGAUGGGAGAGUUCCGGAUCAAAGGUAAUCAGAUUUCCUGGCAUAUGUGAGAUCUCCUGUAACCAUGUCUAAAUAUGUGGGGCGGUGGAAACAGCCUGGAGGCGUGAGAGUCACAAGAAGCUUGUCACCACCUGGGCACCACGUUCCAGACUCUACAGCAGUUUCCCCGGCCUGGAGCUCAUGCAUCAGGACUUGGGGCCACGAGAUAGUUCUAUUUUGUUUUUAAAAUCACACCAAAAUGCUGAAGCAAAGACAUAAGGUCCACAAAGCUACCAUUGCUAAUCUCCUAUGUGUCUUCGCAUUUUAAAAACAGCUCCCCAAAUAAAACAUAAAUAGCAGCCAGGAGAGCCCAACUUGAAACGUCCUCGUCUGUCCCGUGGAUUCAGCCCCCAGGCUUUAACUGGUAGCUCCCUGAUGUUUUGCAAGUGACGGGAGCCCUCCAGGCCCGGCAGUCAGCAGCCUGCAGGGUCCCUGCCAUUUCUGUGUAUUCCACAAAGAACGUUCUGAAACUGCCCUGCGACCAAAGA